CUAGAUCUAGCGAGUGGCGAACGGGUGAGUAAUACGUAAGCAACCUGCCUACAAAGACUGGGAUAACACUUGGAAACGAGCGCUAAUACCGGAUAGGUAAUGGGAAGGCAUCUUCCUAUUAUUAAAGGUUUGAAACACUAGUAGAUGGGCUUACGGCGCAUUAGCUUGUUGGUGAGGUAACGGCCCACCAAGGCGAUGAUGCGUAGCCGGACUGAGAGGUUGAACGGCCACAUUGGGACUGAGACACGGCCCAGACUCCUACGGGAGGCAGCAGUAGGGAAUUUUCGGCAAUGGGCGCAAGCCUGACCGAGCAAUGCCGCGUGAGUGAUGAAGGUUUUCGGAUUGUAAAGCUCUGUUGUAAGGGAAGAACGGCUCGGAUAGAAUCCGAGAUUGACGGUACCUUACCAGAAAGCCACGGCUAACUACGUGCCAGCAGCCGCGGUAAUACGUAGGUGGCGAGCGUUAUCCGGAUUUAUUGGGCGUAAAGGGUGCGCAGGCGGCCUGUUAAGUUUAAGGUGAAAGCGUGGGGCUCAACCCCAUAUAGCCUUAGAUACUGGCAGGCUAGAGUACUGGAGAGGAAAGUGGAAUUCCAUGUGUAGCGGUAAAAUGCGUAGAUAUAUGGAGGAACACCGGUGGCGAAGGCGACUUUCUAGACAGUAACUGACGCUCAUGCACGAAAGCGUGGGGAGCAAAUAGGAUUAGAUACCCUAGUAGUCCACGCUGUAAACGAUGAAUGCUAAGUGUUGGGGGUAACUCAGUGCUGCAGUUAACGCAAUAAGCAUUCCGCCUGUGGAGUAUGCACGCAAGUGUGAAACAUAAAGGAAUUGACGGGGGCCCGCACAAGCGGUGGAGUAUGUGGUUUAAUUCGACGCAACGCGAAGAACCUUACCAGGCCUUGACAUCCCUUGCAAAACUCUAGAGAUAGAGCCGAGGUUACCAAGGUGACAGGUGGUGCAUGGUUGUCGUCAGCUCGUGUCGUGAGAUGUUGGGUUAAGUCCCGCAACGAGCGCAACCCUUGUCUUCAGUUACCAUCAUUUAGUUGGGGACUCUGAAGAGACUGCCGGUGAUAAACCGGAGGAAGGUGGGGAUGACGUCAAAUCAUCAUGCCCCUUAUGGCCUGGGCUACACACGUACUACAAUGGCGUAUACAACGAGUCGCAACCUGGCGACAGGAAGCAAAUCUCUUAAAGUACGUCUCAGUUCGGAUUGGAGUCUGCAACUCGACUCCAUGAAGUUGGAAUCGCUAGUAAUCGCGGAUCAGCAUGCCGCGGUGAAUACGUUCUCGGGCCUUGUACACACCGCCCGUCAUACCAUGAGAGC
rnacentral:rRNA from 1 species